GAGUGAUAGAAAAUGAUCUGAAAAGUUCUACUGACCUUAAACCUAAAAAGAUAAAAAAAAGAAAAUUGUCACUAGCUUUCAAAGGAAUAAGUUUUAAAAUUUUUGCAUUUGGGAAAUACUAAGCUAGUAUACUAUAUAAUUAGGAAGACUGGGUGACUUCAUCCUAAGAACUUUGGAGAUAUUUUUCCAUUGGGAUGAUGCGAGAACCAUUAUGUUAUUUCAAAAGGAAUCACAAUAGAUCUUGUAAGACUAAUUUACUUCUACACUUAUCAACAAAGUAAAUAAACAAGU
rnacentral:misc_RNA from 1 species